rnacentral:snRNA from 1 species
GUUCUCUUCGGCAGCACAUAUACUAAAAUUAGAAAGAUACAGAGAAAAUUAGCAUGGCACCUUUGCAAGGAUGACACGUAAAUUCGUGAAUCGUUCCCUAUUUUU